AUCAAAUCAGGGACCAAACCAUCUCGACGAUUAGGUCAACUCUUAACCUAAUCGGGUCAAACCCAACUGAAUCCAAUUCAAUUGGACUUGAUCCAAAAUUAAUUACUCAAUCAAAUUGAGUUAAUUAGUGAUCAAAUCACUAAUUAAAUCUCUCAUAAAUAUUGAGUCUAAAUCCGAUGGGUAAUCAGACAUCAGAAUUCAUCGAUAUGUAAUCCUGAUCGAAGAGUCCUAAACUAGUGGGACUCUUGACCCCGGUACCCAAAAUAUGUGAAACUCGUGAUCAGAGAAUCCUGAUUCUCAAUCACUAAGUCCCAAACAUGUAAGAUUCUACAUCAGCCAUCAGAUCAGAUAGGAACCUCUAAUAUGUGUGACUCCGCAGGUUCGAACCUAAGCUGGUAGCACAGGAACUAAUUCCUAUACUAAUCGAAGUGACCAUCUAGCAAUGGUACCCGACAUCCGG
rnacentral:lncRNA from 1 species